UGGCGUCAGUGAUGUGUUAUUUACCUACAUUGUUUGAUACUUCCUUGAGAAAAGCUCUGUUAUCUGAGACGCCU